AGGCAGUGGAUGGCAUACUGGCUCAGUCAGCAGCACAGAACCACAGAAUAAGAAAAAAAAAAUGCAUCAGUAGACUUUCUCUAUAACAUAGGUUGUUGUGAGAAUCUCAAGCUCGCAAGGUCUCACAGAGAAAAAUAAUUGAAUGGCAAUGAGACUAGCAUAGCAGUGUGUCGUCAAAGCUCAUUCAAAGAAGGGUGGAGAAAGAUUUUCUGCAUGCUUCCUCAAUAUGAUAAAAACAAACAAAA